rnacentral:rRNA from 1 species
GCAAGGCGAGCGGAAACGAGUUAUCAGAACCUUCGGGGAACGAAAACGGCGUCGAGCGGCGGACGGGUGAGUAAUGCCUGGGAAACCGCCCUGAUGUGGACGAUAACCACCGGAAACGAUGGCCAAUACCGCAUAAUAGCUCCGGCUCAAAGAGGGGGACC